rnacentral:rRNA from 1 species
UACGGAGGGUGCAAGCGUUAUCCGGAUUUAUUGGGUUUAAAGGGUGCGUAGGCUGUGUCUUAAGUCAGCGGUGAAAUGUCAGGGCUCAACCUUGAGACUGCCGUUGAUACUGGGAGACUGGAGAGGAAGAGAGGUACGCGGAAUGCGCAGUGUAGCGGUGAAAUGCAUAGAUAUUGCGAAGAACUCCGAUUGCGAAGGCAGCUCACUGGAGCGCAACUGACGCUGAAGCUCGAAAGUGCGGGUAUCGAACAGG